UACGGAGGGGGCGAGCGUUGUCCGAAGUUACUGGGCGUAAAGCGCGUGUAGGCGGGUUGCCAAGUCCGCUGUGAAAGCCCGAGGCUCAACCUCGGAGGGUCGGUGGAUACUGGCAGUCUUGAAGUGGCUAGGGGGAGAUGGAAUUACCGGUGUAGCGGUGAAAUGCGUAGAGAUCGGUAGGAACACCAGUGGCGAAGGCGGUCUCCUGGAGCUAACUUGACGCUGAGACGCGAAAGCUGGGGGCGCGAACGGG
rnacentral:rRNA from 1 species